AAAUUGGACCCUAGUUCAAGUGGUCGAGGUGUUCGCCAAUUCAAAACUGCACUUCUCCAACGCCUGGAAAGAAUACCAGCCUCCUCUUCCACCUAAUCAAGUAAAAUAUUUAAAUGAAUACGAUGAGGAAGGAGAAGGAAUACUCAGGAUCUGCUAGAACUGGCGAUGGAUCUGUUUGACGAGAUCAAGUUGGUCUAGCAGGUCAAAAUACUCAGGUGCAGCAACAACAUUUGGUUAUUCCUUCAAUGCAAAGCCAUGAAUAGAUGCUUCAACGAAUCUCAAAUUUUCACUUGAUGGAGUCACUUUUGUCCUUGCAGUGGCGUGGCUUUUCUCUAUUGAUUGGUACAGAAACCAAAUCAAUGGGAAGCAAGAAGUUAUGAUAGGAUACUCAGACUCAGGAAAAGAUGCCGGUCGUCUUUCUGCGGCUUGGGGCUGUACAAGGCUCAAGAGGAGUUCAUAAAGGUUGCGAAGAAUGUCAGUGGAUAUGUAAACAUUUUAUAUAUAACCUAUUCUAUGAUGUCUGCUAGAUAUUUAGAUCAGCAUCAUAUGAUUGUGUCUUUAAUACUAUUGUUAUUUAUAUAAUAAGACUUUGAUCCCUUAU